rnacentral:rRNA from 1 species
GACGGGGGCCCGCACAAAGCGGUGGAGCAUGUGGUUUAAUUUGAUGCAACGCGAAGAACCUUACCUGCUCUUGACAUCCAGCGAAUCCUUUAGAAAAAGAGGAGUACCUUCGGGAACGCUGAGACAGGUGUGGCACAGCUGUCGUCUCCUCGUGUUGUGAAAUAUUGGGAUAAGUCCCGCACCGAGCGCAACCCCUAUCCUUUGUUGCCAGCUCGUCAUGGUGGGAACUCAAAGGAGACUGCCGGUGAUAAACCGGAGGAAGGUGGGGAUGACGUCAAGUCAUCAUGGCCCUUACGAGUAGGGCUACACACGUGCUACAAUGGCAGAUACAAAGAGAAGCGACCUCGCGAGAGCAAGCGGAACUCAUAAAAUCGGUCGUAGUCCGGAUUGGAGUCUGCAACUCGCCUCCAAGAAGUCGGAAUCUGUUAGUAAUCCCGGGCU